ACCAUGUUAGCUCAGUCAGUUAGAGCAUGGUGCUGAUAACACCAAGGUCGCGAAUUCGAUCCCCAUUUGGUC
rnacentral:tRNA from 1 species